GAGGGGCAGCGGGGAUAAGCUUGCUUAUCCGCCGGCGACCGGCGCACGGGUGCGCAACGCGUAUAGAAUCUGCCUUGUACUGGGGAAUAGCCCAGAGAAAUUUGGAUUAAUGCCCCAUGGUAUGUAGGAGCGGCAUCGCUUCUACAUUAAAGGCUACGGUACAAGAUGACUAUGCGUCCCAUUAGUUAGUUGGCGAGGUAACGGCUCACCAAGACGGCGAUGGGUAGGGGCCCUGAGAGGGGGAUCCCCCACACUGGUACUGAGACACGGACCAGACUCCUACGGGAGGCAGCAGUGAGGAAUAUUGGACAAUGGGCGAGAGCCUGAUCCAGCCAUGCCGCGUGCAGGAAGACGGUCCUAUGGAUUGUAAACUGCUUUUAUACGGGAAGAACAAAGGGCACGUGUGCCCCUCUGACGGUACCGUAAGAAUAAGGAUCGGCUAACUCCGUGCCAGCAGCCGCGGUAAUACGGAGGAUCCAAGCGUUAUCCGGAAUCAUUGGGUUUAAAGGGUCCGUAGGCGGGCCAUUAAGUCAGGGGUGAAAGUCUGCAGCUCAACUGUAGAAUUGCCCUUGAUACUGGUGGUCUUGAGUUAUAGUGAAGUAACUAGAAUAUGUAGUGUAGCGGUGAAAUGCAUAGAUAUUACAUAGAAUACCGAUUGCGAAGGCAGGUUACUAACUAUAUACUGACGCUGAUGGACGAAAGCGUGGGGAGCGAACAGGAUUAGAUACCCUGGUAGUCCACGCCGUAAACGAUGGAUACUAGCUGUCCGGAUGCAAAUCUGGGCGGCCAAGCGAAAGUGAUAA
rnacentral:rRNA from 1 species